UGCAGCGACGCCGCGUGAGGGAUGAAGGCCUAUCGGGUUGUAAACCUCUUUCAGCAGGGACGAAGCGAAAGUGACGGUACCUGCAGAAGAAGCACCGGCUAACUACGUGCCAGCAGCCGCGGUAAUACGUAGGGUGCGAGCGUUGUCCGGAAUUACUGGGCGUAAAGAGUUCGUAGGCGGUUUGUCGCGUCGUCUGUGAAAACCCAUCGCUCAACGAUGGGCCGGCAGGCGAUACGGGCAGACUUGAGUACUGCAGGGGAGACUGGAAUUCCUGGUGUAGCGGUGAAAUGCGCAGAUAUCAGGAGGAACACCGGUGGCGAAGGCGGGUCUCUGGGCAGUAACUGACGCUGAGGAACGAAAGCGUGGGUAGCAAACAGGAUUAGAUACCCUGGUAGUCCACGCCGUAAACGGUGGGCGCUAGGUGUGGGUUCCUUCCACGGGAUCUGUGCCGUAGCUAACGCAUUAAGCGCCCCGCCUGGGGAGUACGGCCGCAAGGCUAAAACUCAAAGGAAUUGACGGGGGCCCGCACAAGCGGCGGAGCAUGUGGAUUAAUUCGAUGCAACGCGAAGAACCUUACCUGGGUUUGACAUAUACUGGAAAGCUGCAGAGAUGUAGCCCCCCUUGUGGCC
rnacentral:rRNA from 1 species